rnacentral:rRNA from 1 species
AUUGAACGCUGGCGGCAGGCCUAACACAUGCAAGUCGAGCGGAGCGGCGGACGGGUGCGGAAUGCUUAGGAAUCUGCCUGGUCGUGGGGGAUAACGUUCGGUACCGGGCGCUAAUACCGCAUACUAUCAGAUGAGGCUAGGUCGGAUUAGCUUGUUGGUGGGGUAAAGGCCCACCAAGGCGACGACCCGUAACUGGUCUGAGAGGAUGAUCAGUCACACUGGAACUGAGACACGGUCCAGACUCCUACGGGAGGCAGCAGUGGGGAAUAUUGGACAAUGGGCGAAAGCCUGAUCCAGCCAUGCCGCGUGUGUGAAGAAGGUCUUCGGAUUGUAAAGCACUUUAAGUUGGGAGGCGUUACCAACAGAAUAAGCACCGGCUAACUUCGUGCCAGCAGCCGCGGUAAUUC